AAUCUCCGUAGAAACAUAUUUUGCUGACAUGUUCCAAGGGAUGUUCUUUUAGCUCCUGUCAAAAGAUUAUCAAGGAAUGCAGGAAAAGAUUCAUCAUUUGAUUGCCUGCCACCACAACAAAAAGGUGGUUUCUGAAUGAGAUAUAAUGGGUAGAGAAUGAUAGAUGACCAAGUGGUUAGAGUGGAGGGACGGCAGGUAGUCUAGUGGUUAGAGUGUAGGGACGGCAGGUAGCCUAGUGGUUAGAGUGUAGGGACGGCAGGUAGCCUAGUGGUUAGAGUGUAGGGACGGCAGGUAGCCUAGUGGUUAGAGUGUAGGGACGGCAGGUAGCCUAGUGGUUAGAGUGUAGGGACGGCAGGUAGCCUAGUGGUUAGAGUGUAGGGACGGCAGGUAGCCUAGUGGUUAGAGUGUAGGGACGGCAGGUAGCCUAGUGGUUAGAGUGUAGGGACGGCAGGUAGCCUAGUGGUUAGAGUGUAGGGACGGCAGGUAGCCUAGUGGUUAGAGUGUAGGGGCAGGCAGGUAGUCUAGUGGUUAGAGUGGAGGGACGGCAGGUAGCCUAGUGGUUAGAGUGUAGGGACGGCAGGUAGCCUAGUGGUUAGAGUGUAGGGACGGCA